GGGUGAUUAGCUCAACGGUAGAGCAGUGGAUUCUUAAUCCAAAGUAUUGUGGUUCGAUUCCCCAGUCACCCA
rnacentral:tRNA from 1 species